GUGAAUGACGCCUAAUGCACUAGAUGGGAGAUAAAGGGGUGAUCCAAACAGUGUAAACGUUUACAUUAAAGUCUUAAUUUCGCGUUUGUGUCACGCGUGCGUUUGCACUUGAGUGUGCUCCGGUUAAAGGCAGGGCUCGAUGGAAGCGACGGCGCAACACGCAAUAAAAGGUAUCUUUACCAUGUUAAUCAGAGGUUUUGUCCUAACCAGCCCCGACAAACAACGUCCUGCGACUUCGCGGCUGACAGCUCCGCCCACACAACGAUUUCAUUCGAUUGACAAUCACACUCGAGUCCACGGAAACAGGGUAACAUCCCCAACAGUCCUGAAGUAUAACAUUUGAUGUAUGACUAACCUCCAGCUGCUGUUGUAGUCUGCAGACCUGAGCCUGGAGAACGCUUUCUGACUGCAUGGG